rnacentral:rRNA from 1 species
UACGUAGGGUGCGAGCGUUUAAUCGGAAUUACUGGGCGUAAAGCGUGCGCAGGCGGUGAUGUAAGACCGAUGUGAAAUCCCCGGGCUUAACCUGGGAACUGCAUUGGUGACUGCAUCGCUCGAGUAUGGCAGAGGGGGGUAGAAUUCCACGUGUAGCAGUGAAAUGCGUAGAGAUGUGGAGGAAUACCGAUGGCGAAGGCAGCCCCCUGGGUCAAUACUGACGCUCAUGCACGAAAGCGUGGGGGAGCAAACAGG